CAGGAAAAGAAAAAAUAGAUAACUCUGAAACCAUUCUGAAUAACAUAUGAAUUUAUUGAGAAAGAAAGCUCACAAAUCAAUAAGAAGAGAGGAUAAAUGCAGCAAAUUUGUUGGAGAAAUUGGCUGGAAAUCCGGUCAGUUUGGACCUACACUUUAUACUGUGGUAUAAAAUAUUUUCCAUAUGCUUUAAAGCACUACGUGUAACAAUAAUUACACUUUAAAAAAAACUAAAACGGGAGUUCCCUUGCGGCUCAGUGGGUUAAGGACGAGCGUUGUAGGAUCACUGCUGUGACUCUGGUUACACCUGUGGAGCGGGUUCAAUCCCUGGCUCGGGAAAUUUUGCAUGCGGCGGGGACAACCCCUCCUAAAAAAAAAAAACCCACAAAAAAACAACCAACCAAAAAAACCAAAACAAUAGGUAGAUAACUAAGUUUUGAUGAAGUAUAACUAAGUUUGAAUGAAUAAAAGUAAUGAGGGAGGCUCGCCCGCAGCGCUCCAGAGGCGGAGCACGCAGCAGGUUGAGCCGAAGCGCCGCCGCGGUUCCCAGGCGCGUCCGCGCUCGGGCCGCAGCCCUCACCCCAAUCGCCGGGCCGCGCGUUGGGAAGCGAGCCGCUCAAGCCUGGGGACCCCCCCCCCCACCCCGGCGCACCCGUUCCCUCGCCAGCCUCAAGCCUUGCUCGGGGCUCGGUCCCCGAGGGCAGCCCAUCUGCGGGAAGGAGCCCGCCCUGAGGCGCGCUGCGCCGCCGGGCCCCGCAGGGGCGGUGGGGGCUGGGCGCCCGCCCUUCCUGAAGCCCCUCCCCCAGCCGUCUGGAGCCGAGGCGGGGACGAAGCCCGCCGGGUUGAGGCGGCGGCGCUCCCCGUGUUCAGUCCCGUCCGCAGGCCGAGACGUCGGGAAGCUGAAGAAAUUCCUGCGGGCGUUCGUGGGAAAGCAGAGCGCUAAUUUCCGAUGUGAAUUCAGAUCUGACAACUCUCAUGCCCUGGGCUGUGAUUUGGAAGGAGCCAUUGAGAUGGGGGCUGCUUUCCUUGACUUCAGCUGCUGCUGGAAAAAGCAAGGGCAACUCACUUUAAACUCCCCAUCCAAAGGGAGUGGGCUUAGUUCGACGGUCACCCUGAGUGGCCAGGCCAGCAUGGAGGAGGUGCCUGAGGGGACCCGAUGCCAGCAUUGGACAAUCAGUCCUCCUCCUGAGCCCAGACCACUUUCACAUUCGCCACCAGACAUAAAUGGCUUGGAGGCAUCAGGAGCUUGCUCUAUGAGGAAAGCGGAGGCUCAGCGAGGGACUUCGGCUUCCUUCUUUGGACUAGAUGUUUUCUUGGAGAUCUGCUUCCUCUCCUGAGCUGAGCAGGGACCAAGGCGAAGGGCAGGAAGAGAGCUCACUCCCUGUGCCCCCGCCCAGCGUCAGGGCUGCCCUGCCUGAAGAAUGAUACUCCCGCCAUGUCCUCAGCCCUUCUCACUCCCCAAGCUUCCCAGGCGGCUCUGAGGUCUGAGACACCAGCUGUGCCUGGUGCCUGGAGUCCACGUGCCGUUCACGGAGAGACUUCCAGCAUCUCCUCCUUGGAAUCUAGUCUGUCCUGCUCCUGGCUCUCCAGAAGCUCCCUGCCGCUGUCCUCGUCCUGGAUGGUCUUCCCGGGUG